UCUUUAAUUGUAACAUUACUUCCACACAAGGUCUAAAUUGGAAAAGAUUCUUCACCAUGGGACGCUUCCAGAUCUUUGCCGAAUGAAGUGAAAAGUUUCUUGGCACAAUGUCUUUUUGAACUCAUUGUAAAGGCAGUGUAAUAUUUACAUCCAGAGGCCACGGAAAGCAUUCUGGUGCUUAAAAACCCUCUUGGAUUUGUUAAAUCUCAUUAUAAAAAAAAAAACAAACACUGCAAACAUAAUGAACGUGCAGUGUCUGUACAAUGACUUACAAUAGAUUUUCUACAAAGGCUUUUAUUUGAGCAAGUGGUGGAAAUGAUUUCUGUUAUAUGGCUGCUCAUUUCAUUAUAGAUCCACAGUGACGGUGAAUAGUUGGUGAUAGACAUUAUGUGUACUGUAGGAUCUCUGGCCGUCGCUUGAAACAAAUCCAUAAGUAGAAAAUAAAUAAAACCCAUGCAUUACAAUGGUAUAAUGCAUUUACAUGUACCAGACUUUGUUCAACUCAAUUCUAUUCAUGUCAAAUAUUAUAUAAUAUUGAAGCAUUGACAUCCUUGCUUGUGUAGAAAAUUAUAGGCAAAAUACUUUGAAAAAAAAAGGCCUUUUGAUUCAAGUCUUCCAUGUGUGUUUGCAGAUCUUCUCGAAGGACAUCUGACUGGAUCCUUGAGCAACUGGGAGCACCAAUCAGAUCUCUGCAGCUGUGUGGGGUGCAAUAUGAAAAUCUGGUCAUGGGUGGGUAUCUGAUGAGAAAUGAGGUUCUCAAAAAACACAAGCACUUCUUGCACUGUGGGAAGCUAUGCAUGGGAAUGCUCAGAUUUGCUAUCUGAAAAGCUAUUGCACACAAACAAGACCCCGGCCAUGAAUAAAGCUUCCUAUUCAGUGUGACAAACACCAAGUGUACAGUAAACAAAGGAAAACAAUAAUCCGUUUUCUCAAGCUGAUGUUCCUAACAGAACUGAACAAUCAUCCAUGUAAUUUCAACGUUACAUCCAAUUACAGUCAAGGACAGUGGAAUACUGCUAAACACCAUAAUCUGUGUAAA
rnacentral:lncRNA from 1 species